UCGGCGCAGGAAGGAGCUGGUGGACGCCACAGCGCGUAAAAGCAUCCAGGCAUCAAACACCGAGGACCACUUUGACCGAAGCGCCACGUUCCCCCCUCCCACCUCCCCACUCCUGUUUCAAUGUUGUUUUAACCUCGGAAAAAGAGAAGAGAAAACCUUCUAGAUCAGGUGAUGAGAAAGAAACCCAGUGAGUGUGAGUGUGUGCGCGUGCGUGUGUGCGGCUCGCUGCACGGGGACCAGUGUGGAGCUCAUCCCAAACAGAGGAUGGAGAGAAUAACAGUCGCUGCUCCGGAAUAAAGAGAGGACGCUUUUUUUUCGGAUGUGGUGACAGAGACGUGCACGAGUUCCACGACAACACGCACUCGGGAGGGAUUUCCCUUUGUCCCCACGUGUGCAGUGGAUGAGCUGUGGACCAGACACAAGGUGUGAAGCUGUGGUGGUCCGACAGCGAGGGAGAUACUGGAGGAAAGAUGAGGAAGAGCAGGAGUGUUCUCACGGUGUCUCCCAACAAUGACAGCAAAGAGCCUCCAGACUGCUGCCUCAGUGAGUCGUUCACGUCUCCGUCCUGCACGCUGGGGGUCGACCUGCGCCGG